GUUUUUAUAGUUUAAAGAAAACGUUAGAUUGUGAGUCUAACAACAGGGACUCAUCCCCUUAAAAACC
rnacentral:tRNA from 1 species